AUCACCCUCCCCAUGGCCCACGUGAAGAUUGUGCCACAGCAGCUGCAUGGCUUCCAGAACAGACCUGCUGACCCUGGAGCUGACCGCCUGUGCCGGUGACCCCUCCCCAUCGAUGCACCGAGCAGGUUCUGCCCAGCUCCUUCUGCCUGGAAGGCCCAGUUCUUCUCCGCCUGGCCAGCAUCCCACUGCAGGGACACGUCGCCUGGCAGCUGAGCAGUCAGAUUACCAGGAGCUCACAUCUGGGUCCAAACCAUUCCCAAGGCCAAGGCCAGAGAGCCUCCCUGGAGCCUGAAUGGGCUUACACAGAGGCGGUACUGUCUGUUAAAUUCACUCAUUCAACAGGUAUUUAUUGAGCAAGCACUAUACCCUAGGCUCCAGGGGUGCAGGGGACUUCAAAGCGGAGUGGGGGAGGGGGAGCUUGUGGGUGGCUCAGUAGGUUAAUCAUGGGACUCUUGAUUUUGGCUCAGGUCAUGAUCUCAGAGUCCUGGGAUUGAGCCUCAUCGGGAUAAGCGGUCAGCAUUGGGUC
rnacentral:lncRNA from 1 species